AGUAAAUGCUGUUGGGAUGCUUAAAACAAGUCACAUCGCAAAUAUUUAAAAAAAACUCAGUCAACAAACGUUAUCUUUCUCUACAUGAAUAUUCCGCAAUGGAAAUUUUAAAAAAAUACCAAAUCCCAGUUCCAAAUUUUAUUAUGGCAAAAACAUGCCAGGAAACAUAUGACGCUGCAAUAAAACUACAUGAAAUGACAGGAGUAGAGGAUGUGGUGAUAAAGGCUCAAGUCCUCGCAGGUGGCCGUGGAAGGGGACUUUUCUCAAGCGGACUGCGUGGAGGUGUUAAAACAGUU